GUGCUCACUUUGGCAGCAUAUAUGCUAAAAUUGGAACGAUACAGAGAAGAUUACCAUGGCCCCUGUGCAAGGAUGACACACAAAUUCAUGAAGCAUUCCAUAUUUUU
rnacentral:snRNA from 1 species